CCUACGGGAGGCAGCAGUGAGGAAUAUUGGUCAAUGGACGAGAGUCUGAACCAGCCAAGUAGCGUGAAGGAUGACUGCCCUAUGGGUUGUAAACUUCUUUUAUAUGGGAAUAAAAUGUUCCACGUGUGGGAUUUUGUAUGUACCAUAUGAAUAAGGAUCGGCUAACUCCGUGCCAGCAGCCGCGGUAAUACGGAGGAUCCGAGCGUUAUCCGGAUUUAUUGGGUUUAAAGGGAGCGUAGGUGGAUUGUUAAGUCAGUUGUGAAAGUUUGCGGCUCAACCGUAAAAUUGCAGUUGAAACUGGCAGUCUUGAGUACAGUAGAGGCGGGCGGAAUUCGUGGUGUAGCGGUGAAAUGCUUAGAUAUCACGAAGAACUCCGAUUGCGAAGGCAGUUCACUGGACUGAAACUGACACUGAGGCUCGAAAGUGUGGGUAUCAAACAGGAUUAGAUACCCUUGUAGUC
rnacentral:rRNA from 1 species